rnacentral:rRNA from 1 species
UACGGGGGGGGCAAGCGUUGUUCGGAAUUACUGGGCGUAAAGCGCGCGUAGGCGGCUCUGUAAGUUAGCGGUGAAAGCCCGGGGCUCAACCCCGGAAUUGCCUUUAAGACUGCAUCGCUUGAAUCCGGGAGAGGUGAGUGGAAUUCCGAGUGUAGAGGUGAAAUUCGUAGAUAUUCGGAAGAACACCAGUGGCGAAGGCGGCUCGCUGGACCGGUAUUGACGCUGAGGUGCGAAAGCGUGGGGAGCAAACAGG